UUAACUUUAAUUAACAAUUUUAACUGUGUUGAACAACCAUAAUUGAAGAAUUAAAUUCUGUUGGGCCACCUUGUGAAGUCCAUAUGCCUAUGCCCAAAUGGCUUAAACCAGACUUGCACUGAUCAACCUAAAAUUUGGGCCUAAUAGUGACCCUAAUGCCAAAUCGCAUAUCUCUCAAAGUACAUUCAUGGCACAGUAAGACAGACUACUUUUGAAGACCUACUAACCACUAACUGGACUAAAAUUAACAGUCCAUUUUAAUUGAAAUUCCCAAAAUUAUUCAAUGAAGUUUUAAUUUUUAGAGAAUCAAUGUAUAGACAAUUGACACCCAAGAAAUUCGAAUACAAUAAAAGAAAGCUUCUAAUGAUUCCAGAAUUUCUUUGCUCCUCUUGAACAUGACUUGUCCAUAACAGCUUUAUCUUCUCCCCUUAACGUGUAGAUCCCACAUUAAAGCUUUUCAGAAGUAAUUGAUUUAGCCAACUGGUGGUUGAACCAACAAGUUAAAGCCCACUACCAAAUUAGCCGAAAAAAUUAAGUAAGAGAAUGAGAUGAAAAGAAAUACUACCUAAAAGGGACAUGAUCAACAAUACUUUUAAACAUGGAAAGAGGGGAAAGGAACUAGUUACUAAGCUAAUAUUGAACCAGAAUGUUCUAAGAAAAGAAUACAACAAUCAAAUGUAAGGGACAACCUGAUUCAUGAAUUUAAUCAUGUCAUAGGAUUAAAAUCAUGAAUCCAAUGAGGUUUUAUUACUCAUGAUUAUGGCAGACUAUACUGAAAGUAGAAGGGGAGGAGAUGGUCAGUUUAAGCUGUGAAUCUGAUUAUGAAAAGAGGUCAGAUUCAUUAGGUUCCUCCAUCCAUACAACCUUAACAAAUCUGGGUUGAAUGCUUUUAGCAUACAAGAUGGUUUAUGAGCUUAACUAUAUUUGAAAGUUUAAGCACACAGAAAUCAUAGAAAAUUCACCUCAGACUCUAAAUCCACCUCAGACUCUUAACAUUUCAGUAUUUGAAUCUUACUUUGUAUUUUUUAGUACCAAUUAGUUUAACCAACUGGUGAUUAAACCAGUAGGUUACUGCUCAUGUUCCAGCAAUCAAAAGACUCAUGAGAGUAAGAGAGAUCAGAUGAAGGAGAAAUUAUAGUAAGAGAGAUCAGAUGAAGGAGAAAUUAUAGUGGUCCAGCCAACAGGUGGAUAAACCAUCAGGCUACAACUUGUGAAUAAACAAUUACAAGACAAAUGAGAGGCAGUCUUUUGGAAUAAGAGAAAUCAGAUGAAAGAUUGCAAAAAAAAGCAUCAUAAACUAACCUAAACAUUGUCAUAAAAUACAACUCCUCAUGUUAUUUUCACAACACAUUUUACAUCUUGAAAUAAUAAUAGAAACACAUGAAAGACUGAUGACAAAUAAUGAGCUAAUACAUUAGCUUCUACUUUGCACAAAUAAGAUAAUUCUCAUAGCCAGAAAUUGGUUACAUACCUAGAGAUGACUCAAAUAAGACCAAAUAAACGUCAAUAGCUCAGCUGAUUCUUCUAAAAUAAUGAGCAGUAACAUGCAGCCAAACACACAGCCAAAUAAGAAACCAAGAUCGGCUUUCAACAACCCAGAUUUAAGCUUCAUAACUAGGAUCCAAAACUAGAAGAAAACCAGAAUCUAACUAUAGAAAACCAAGGGAACUUCCUUUUUCAAACCAUGUUUUUGACUUGUGCAGAAAUAGGGGAUUUCUAAGAUUUUUAAAAGUUAUUUUGAGGCUCAGAUUUCACAGAAGACAAAGAAACUUUUUGGGAGAAUUUUUAGACUGAUAUAUUAUAU
rnacentral:lncRNA from 1 species